rnacentral:rRNA from 1 species
UUACGGUCAAAUCACGCUGAAACACAGGUUCUCGUUCGAAGUUAAGCAUCGUAGAGCCAGGUCAGUACUUAGAUGGGGGACCGCUUGGGAACACCUGGUACUGUAAGC